CCGGGAAAGUGUCUCAUGCCGUGAAUUCUCGAUUUCCCGUUGCCGUCGAUUUUUCCGGCAGUUUUUCGUGUCAUAUUGUUUUGCGAGCAAAAAAGAAUCUAACGCGUGGGUAGGGUUUAUCCUGUAACCGUGUGAGGGGCUUCUGAUUCCAACUGUGCUGGACAUUGUUGUGCCUGCCUGCAUGCGUCCUGCACUCCACGCGUUUCUACCAUGGCUUCCAAACUUGCUGGCAACCACCACUGCCUCUGCAAAUCGUUCAGACCUGCCACAGAUUUGGCUUUUAUAUUGGAAAACAGUAACGCGAACAAGACAAAGGACAGCAAAAAAACAAUUCCCAGCUACAGGGUUUUUCACCUCCAUAUGUUUCUGUUCAGAGCUUCCGAAAUCCUGUAGAGUUUGGAGGCAUUUUCAAAACACCUAAUAUUUUCACAUUCAUCCCUUACUCCAUCUAUAAGGUUAGUGUUAGUAUUGAAGGAAAAAUGUGCGUGCAAAUUGUUGCAAGUGAGUGCGACAGUAAACCUAUUAUCCAUGUUUAUCAUUUUCUUUUUGAUUGAGUUGGAUUUUAACUAAGAAAUUUGAGGUAUAGUUUCUAGAAUGAAUUUAGAGAUGAUCUUAUCAAUUCAUGCAUUGGGUUCAGCUUUACUGGUUUUGUAACAACUUGUUCAUGGGGUUUGAUAAGUGCGUAUACUAUCCAGUAUAAAAAUAGA